GCGAAUUGUAAAAUGAAGAGUAAGAUGCUGUUGUUCUUCCUAAUUGGUCGAGAAUGAAUAUUUUAGGCAACAGCGCAUCCUAAGUAAUUUAUGCAAUUGCGGAUUGUGCUUGGUGCCCCCAAAAGAGUCAGAGAUUUUUGGAUCAUAGUUUCCUAAUUUGAACUCAAUUUGACUGUGAUAUGGUCAUUCAUAUAGCAGAUUUUCUAGAUGAUGAACUCUGAUUCUCUGGAUGAUAAACUUUUUAUCUCCGGAGAAUGUGCUACGUGAUGUUGAUAGCUAAAGAGAAAUAAUUUGGCG
rnacentral:misc_RNA from 1 species